rnacentral:rRNA from 1 species
CCUACGGGUGGCAGCAGUGGGGAAUAUUGGACAAUGGGCGAAAGCCUGAUCCAGCCAUGCCGCGUGUGUGAAGAAGGCCUUCGGGUUGUAAAGCACUUUCAGUGGGGAAGAAAGCCUUGGGGCUAAUACCCUCGAGGAAGGACAUUACCCACAGAAGAAGCACCGGCUAACUCCGUGCCAGCAGCCGCGGUAAUACGGAGGGUGCGAGCGUUAAUCGGAAUUACUGGGCGUAAAGCGCGCGUAGGCGGUCUGAUAAGCCGGUUGUGAAAGCCCCGGGCUCAACCUGGGAACGGCAUCCGGAACUGUCAGGCUAGAGUGCAGUAGAGGAAGGUAGAAUUCCCGGUGUAGCGGUGAAAUGCGUAGAGAUCGGGAGGAAUACCAGUGGCGAAGGCGGCCUUCUGGACUGACACUGACGCUGAGGUGCGAAAGCGUGGGUAGCAAACAGGAUUAGAUACCCGGGUAGUC